AUCAUGUACUGCAGUUGCCUUUUUGUUCCCAUGCUGUUUAAGCCCAGCAUAGGCACCAAAAAGCAACAACAGUAUGUGAA
ensembl:miRNA